rnacentral:rRNA from 1 species
AAUCAACGCUGGCGGCGUGCCUAACACAUGCAAGUCGAACGAGAAAGUGGAGCAAUCCAUGAGUAAAGUGGCGCACGGGUGAGUAACACGUGACUAACCUACCCUUGAGCGGGGGAUAACCUAGGGAAACCUGGGCUAAUACCGCAUAAUACCUACGGGUCAAAGCAGCAAUGCACUUAAGGAGGGGGUCGCGGCAGAUUAGCUAGUUGGUGAGGUAAUGGCUCACCAAGGCGAUGAUCUGUAUCCGGCCUGAGAGGGCGCACGGACACACUGGAACUGAAACACGGUCCAGACUCCUACGGGAGGCAGCAGUGGGGAAUUUUGCGCAAUGGGGGAAACCCUGACGCAGCAACGCCGCGUGGAGGAUGAAAUCCCUUGGGAUGUAAACUCCUUUCGAUCGGGACGAUUAUGACGGUACCGGAAGAAGAAGCCCCGGCUAACUUCGUGCCAGCAGCCGCCGUAACAC